rnacentral:rRNA from 1 species
UGGGGAAUAUUGCACAAUGGGCGGAAGCCUGAUGCAGCGACGCCGCGUGGGGGAUGAAGGCCUUCGGGUUGUAAACUCCUUUCGACAGGGACGAAGCUUUUGUGACGGUACCUGUAUAAGAAGCACCGGCUAACUACGUGCCAGCAGCCGCGGUAAUACGUAGGGUGCGAGCGUUGUCCGGAAUUACUGGGCGUAAAGAGCUCGUAGGUGGUUUGUCGCGUCGUCUGUGAAAUUCCGGGGCUUAACUCCGGGCGUGCAGGCGAUACGGGCUGACUUGAGUGCUGUAGGGGAGACUGGAACUCCUGGUGUAGCGGUGAAAUGCGCAGAUAUCAGGAGGAACACCGAUGGCGAAGGCAGGUCUCUGGGCAGUAACUGACGCUGAGGAGCGAAAGCAUGGGUAGCAAACAGGAUUAGAUACCCUGGUAGUCCAUGCCGUAAACGGUGGGCGCUAGGUGUAGGGGGCUUCCACGUCUUCUGUGCCGUAGCUAACGCAUUAAGCGCCCCGCCUGGGGAGUACGGCCGCAAGGCUA